ensembl:Mt_tRNA
UGAUAAUUAGUUUAAAAUAAAACAAGUGAUUUCGACUCACUAAAUUAUGGGUUACCAUAAUUAUCAA